CAACAAAGUGCAACGUUAGCUGA
rnacentral:siRNA from 1 species